rnacentral:lncRNA from 1 species
CUGUAGCAGGUUCAUUUAUUUAAAUUUCAUCUUCGAUAUGAGCUCUUAGAACCUAUUUGAGACAUAAGUUGUUUACCUGUUUGAAUAAAGUGUUGCCUCCAAAAAGUUAAUUCGUUGCUGUAUUUGGUGAAAAAAGCACUGAUAAACUCUUUAUGAAUACCAUGUUGUCAGGUGAAGAGCAAUUCCGUAUCAACUGUCAAUAUUCAAAUUUUAAUACCUUUCAAAAUAUCAGGUUUGGGAUCAAUGACUAGUUAAUUCAAAUUUAGUUUAACAUACAUUCAACAUGCAUUGCUACAUACUCGCAUGACUGAGAAACAAGAUUUUUGAGAAGUAAUCCACUGUUCGGCAUGCAUGCCUCAUGCCUGAUCAGUCCAUUUCAUAUUUAACUAUCAUUUCUUAUGUUGGCAUAUGAUUUUCCAUAUUUCAGGGCUCGACAUCACAUACAUGGAUUCUCUGCUGCUUUUAGUGGCCUCAGCUGCUUUCAUCAUUCUCAUUUAAAUUUUGGAAAAGCAAUUAGCAAAGCCAUUCUUGCUCUCCUGAAAUCAUGGCAAGAAGCUGUACAUUGAUCUUGGAGCAUUGAUUCAGGCAAGAGAAUGGAAAUCUGUAAAAUUAAGCCUGAAAAUUUUCUCCUGCAGGUCUGACUCAUUUGAAUACUAAUCACCGAGGAUAAAAUCUCACCCCGAGGGGAAGGUGAUUUCUCGUUCAAGUUUCUUGUAAUUUUUAUUCAUUACUCUUGCAUAUUCUCGUGUAAUA